rnacentral:rRNA from 1 species
ACGCUGGCGGCAGGCUUAACACAUGCAAGUCGAACGGUAACAGGAAUUAGCUUGCUAAUUUGCUGACGAGUGGCGGACGGGUGAGUAAUGCUUGGGAAUCUGGCUUAUGGAGGGGGAUAACUACGGGAAACUGUAGCUAAUACCGCGUAAAAUCUUCGGAUUAAAGGGCGGGACUUUCGAGCCACCUGCCAUAAGAUGAGCCCAAGUGGGAUUAGGUAGUUGGUUAGGUAAAGGCUGACCAAGCCGACGAUCUCUAGCUGGUCUGAGAGGAUGACCAGCCACACUGGAACUGAGAUACGGUCCAGACUCCUACGGGAGGCAGCAGUGGGGAAUGUUGCACAAUGGGGGGAACCCUGAUGCAGCCAUGCCGCGUGAAUGAAGAAGGCCUUCGGGUUGUAAAGUUCUUUCGGUGACGAGGAAGGUUGAUAGGUUAAUAGCCUAUCAAAUUGACGUUAAUCACAGAAGAAGCACCGGCUAACUCCGUGCCAGCAGCCGCGGUAAUACGGGGGGUGCGAGCGUUAAUCGGAAUAACUGGGCGUAAAGGGCACGCAGGCGGUGACUUAAGUGAGAUGUGAAAGCCCCGAGCUUAACUUGGGAAUUGCAUUUCAUACUGGGUCGCUAGAGUACUUUAGGGAGGGGUAGAAUUCCACGUGUAGCGGUGAAAUGCGUAGAGAUGUGGAGGAAUACCGAAGGCGAAGGCAGCCCCUUGGGAAUGUACUGACGCUCAUGUGCGAAAGCGUGGGGAGCAAACAGGAUUAGAUACCCUGGUAGUCCACGCUGUAAACGAUGUCGAUUUGGGGAUUGGGCUUUGAGCUUGGUGCCCGUAGCUAACGUGAUAAAUCGACCGCCUGGGGAGUACGGCCGCAAGGUUAAAACUCAAAUGAAUUGACGGGGGCCCGCACAAGCGGUGGAGCAUGU